UGUGUUUUUCGUACUGUAAGAUUUCAUUGAAACUCUCUCCGCUUUUUUCCUGUCACCUUGUGUUAUUUUUAGACUUAUUUUCCAGGAAAAUGGCCUGUAUUCGCAAUUUUUAGCUUCCCUUUAAACUGUUAUUACGGUAAUUGUCACCUCCCAUAAUUCUCAGCGAGUGUUACGAUGAGAACGGAGCACAGAGUCUGCUUCUCCGUCAGCUUCCUGUCUCUGCAGGCGUCAUGCAUAGAGCAGCUGAGGAUGGAAAAGGAACAAAUCCUGGAGAAAACCCUUCACAGGACUCCAAGGGGGCUGGAUUCAUGUGGUGGAGUUAAGUUUUUGUCUUCCAGAACCAGAUGUGUUUGGAUGGCUUUCAGGGCUCCCCUCAAGACCACCGGCCAUCAAACUUUAACAUCAUAGCAGAGAGCCCUGCUCAUAUCUCUAGUUCAGUGGGUAAUCACUGAGAAUCAAAGAAAGCUUGCCAUGAGCCUUCCUCCAAGGAGUUAUGUCUCAGUUUACCUGAGAGCCAUGAGGUUCAUAAUGUAAAUAUAUCAAAGAUUUGAAGGGUUGUCCUGUACCUUUAGUGUUCAGAUUUGUGAGUCUGAAUAAAAAGGCUGCACCCCAAUCAGGUCUGGUCUCCAACCAUGUACGGGUGAGAAGUCUUAGACAACAAGUCUGUGUCUGUGAGGCGUCAGGUAUCUGUGAAGGGAUGUGUACUGCAGUGAAAGUUGCUUUAAUCAUCCAGCACCAGAGGUUCCUUGUGUUUGGCUCACAUACAGUACAUCCAAGGAAUGGAGACAGACUGAGGAAAUCUCCAGACCAAGAUAUUUGAAGUCAAAGCUGUAACUCUCCUACACCCCAGCCAUCUCAAUUCCAUUUCAUCAACAUCAGGUUCAGCUCAUCACAAGUCCUCUGCUCAUCUCAUCCUGUAUCCCUCACCACCACCACCUAUGUCCAGACUCCAUAAGGGGGGUGCCCUGCCCUGCUGUUGACUUCACUAUCCCUUUGAUUCCAUGAAGACAUCACAAUUGAGU